rnacentral:rRNA from 1 species
UACGAAGGGGGCUAGCGUUGCUCGGAAUCACUGGGCGUAAAGGGUGCGUUAGGCGGGUCUUUAAGUCAGGGGUGAAAUCCUGGAGCUCAACUCCAGAACUGCCUUUGAUACUGAAGAUCUUGAGUUCGGGAGAGGUGAGUGGAACUGCGAGUGUAGAGGUGAAAUUCGUAGAUAUUCGCAAGAACACCAGUGGCGAAGGCGGCUCACUGGCCCGAGUACUGACGCUGAGGCACGAAAGCGUGGGGAGCAAACAGGG